rnacentral:rRNA from 1 species
GCGUUACUCGGAAUCACUGGGCGUAAAGGGCGCGUAGGCGGAUUAUCAAGUCUCUUGUGAAAUCUAAUGGCUUAACCAUUAAACUGCUUGGGAAACUGAUAGUCUAGAGUGAGGGAGAGGCAGAUGGAAUUGGUGGUGUAGGGGGUAAAAUCCGUAGAUAUCACCAAGAAUACCCAUUGCGAAGGCGAUCUGCUGGAACUCAACUGACGCUAAGGCGCGAAAGCGUGGGGAGCAAACAGGAUUAGAUACCCUGGUAGUCCACGCCCUAAACGAUGUACACUAGUUGUUGGGAUGCUAGUCAUCUCAGUAAUGCAGCUAACGCAUUAAGUGUACCGCCUGGGGAGUACGGUCGCAAGAUUAAAACUCAAAGGAAUAGACGGGGACCCGCACAAGCGGUGGAGCAUGUGGUUUAAUUCGAAGAUACGCGAAGAACCUUACCUGGGCUUGAUAUCCUAAGAACCUUUUAGAGAUAAGAGGGUGCUAGCUUGCUAGAACUUAGAGACAGGUGCUGCACGGCUGUCGUCAGCUCGUGUCGUGAGAUGUUGGGUUAAGUCCCGCAACGAGCGCAACCCACGUAUUUAGUUGCUAACGGUUCGGCCGAGCACUCUAAAUAGACUGCCUUCGUAAGGAGGAGGAAGGUGUGGACGACGUCAAGUCAUCAUGGCCCUUAUGCCCAGGGCGACACACGUGCUACAAUGGCAUAUACAAUGAGACGCAAUACCGCGAGGUGGAGCAAAAUCUAUAAAAUAUGUCCCCAGUUCGGAUUGUUCUUCUGCAACUUCGGAG